GACGAACGCUGGCGGCGUGCUUAACACAUGCAAGUCGAACGGCAAGGCCCGCUUUUUGUGGGGGGCGCGAGUGGCGAACGGGUGAGUAACACGUGAGUAACCUGCCCUUGACUUUGGGGUAACUUCAGGGAACUGGGGCUAAUACCGGCUAGGAGCUCCUGCUGCCUGGUGGGGGUUGGAAAGUUUCGGCGGUUGGGGAUGGACUGGCGGCUUAGCAGCUUGUUGGUGGGGUAGUGGCUUACCAGGGCAUUGACGGCUAGCCGGCCUGAGCGGGUAACCGGCCACAUUGGGACUGAGAUACGGCCCAGAGUCCUACGGGAGGCAGCGGUGGGGAAUAUUGCACAAUGGGCGGAAGCCUGAUGCAGCAACGUCGCGUGCGGGAUGACGGCCUUCGGGUUGUAAACCGCUUUCGCCUGUGACGAAGCGUGAGUGACGGUAAUGGGUAAAGAAGCACCGGCUAACUACGUG
rnacentral:rRNA from 1 species